CCUACGGGAGGCAGCAGUGGGGGAUAUUGCACAAUGGGGGAAACCCUGAUGCAGCGACGCCGCGUGUGGGAAGACGGUCCUCUGGAUUGUAAACCACUUUCCCCAGGGACUAAGAUGACGGUACCUUGGGAGUAAGCUCCGGCUAACUACGUGCCAGAAGACUCGGUAAUACGUAGGGAGCGAGCUUUGUCCGGAAUUACUGGGUGUAAAGGGAGCGUAGGCGGGACUGCAAGUUGGGGGUAAAAUCUACCGGCUCAACGGGAAGCCUCCCUCAAAACUGCAGUUCUUGAGUGAAGUAGAGGCAGGCGGAAUUCCUAGUGUAGCGGUGAAAUGCGUAGAUAUUAGGAGGAAAACCAGUGGCGAAGGCGGCCUGCUGGGCUUCUACUGACGCUGAGGCUCGAAAGUGUGGGGAGCAAACAGGAUUAGAUACCCGGGUAGUC
rnacentral:rRNA from 1 species